AACUAACAAGGAUUCCCUUA
rnacentral:snRNA from 1 species